rnacentral:rRNA from 1 species
UACGAAGGGGGCUAGCGUUGCUCGGAAUCACUGGGCGUAAAGGGUGCGUAGGCGGGUCUUUAAGUCAGGGGUGAAAUCCUGGAGCUCAACUCCAGAACUGCCUUUGAUACUGAGGAUCUUGAGUACGGGAGAGGUGAGUGGAACUGCGAGUGUAGAGGUGAAAUUCGUAGAUAUUCGCAAGAACACCAGUGGCGAAGGCGGCUCACUGGCCCGUAACUGACGCUGAGGCACGAAAGCGUGGGGAGC